ACUGGCGUCUGACUAUUCUGCAGUCGAGCGAACUCUGCUGAUGAUUGAAGCUUGCUUCAUGAAUUACAUUUGAGUGAGUGGCGGACGGGUGAGUAACACGUGGGUAACCUGCCCAAAAGUGGGGGAUAACAUUUGGAAACAAGUGCUAAUACCGCAUAACAACUACUUUCACAUGAGCGUAGGUUGGAAGAUGGCUCUGCUAUCGCUUUUGGAUGGACCCGCGGCGUAUUAUCUAGUUGGUGAGGUAAUAGCUCACCAAGGGAAUGAUACGUAGCCGACCUGAGAGGGUAAUCGGCCACAUUGGGACUGAGACACGGCCCAAACUACUACGGGAGGCAGCAGUAGGGAAUCUUCCACAAUGGGCGAAAGCCUGAUGGAGCAAUGCCGCGUGAGUGAAGAAGGUUUUCGGAUCGUAAAACUCUGUUGUUGAAGAAGAACAUGCGUGAGAGUAACUGUUCACGUACUGACGGUAUUCAACCAGAAAGCCACGGCUAACUACGUGCCAGCAGCCGCGGUAAUACGUAGGUGGCAAGCGUUGUCCGGAUUUAUUGGGCGUAAAGAGAAUGUAGGCGGUUUAUUAAGUUUGAAGUGAAAGCCCUCGGCUCAACCGAGGAAGUGCUUCGAAAACUGGGU
rnacentral:rRNA from 2 species